rnacentral:rRNA from 1 species
GAUGAACGCUGGCGGCGCGCUUAACACAUGCAAGUCGAACGGAAAGGCUCCUGCUUGCAGGGGUACUCGAGUGGCGAACGGGUGAGUAACACGUGGGUGAUCUGCCCUGCACUUCGGGAUAAGCCUGGGAAACUGGGUCUAAUACCGGAUAGGACCACAUUUUGGAUGGUGUGGUGGAAAGUUUUUCGGUGUGGGAUGAGCUCGCGGCCUAUCAGCUUGUUGGUGGGGUAAUGGCCUACCAAGGCGUCGACGGGUAGCCGGCCUGAGAGGGUGUACGGCCACAUUGGGACUGAGAUACGGCCCAGACUCCUACGGGAGGCAGCAGUGGGGAAUAUUGCACAAUGGGCGCAAGCCUGAUGCAGCGACGCCGCGUGGGGGAUGACGGCCUUCGGGUUGUAAACUCCUUUCGCUAGGGACGAAGCGCAAGUGACGGUACCUGGAGAAGAAGCACCGGCUAACUACGUG